CUGGCCUUGAGGAUCAUUUGUCUGGCACUUGGAUUAAGAGGGCAACUUUAAGACCUGCCCUGCCCUGUCCUGGAGCCUCCAGGAGUACCAACUGAUCUCUUACCUUCUUGCUUUCAUGCCUCAGAGGGAAGCUGGUGCGAAUUGGGCACUAGGACCAUCUCCUAGCAGUGGAUGUCCAAUAUAUUUCCCAGCUUCAAGGACCAUCCCUCUGCCAUUUUGGACCAUCAUGUUAAAUCUCAGACCUGCCCUGUCACCGAUGGAGCCAUUGCUACCUCAAAGGGAAGGGGUUUUUUUUUUUUAAGUGUGUGUAUGAA